rnacentral:rRNA from 1 species
UAGCAAGAAAAUUUUUUGAAUUAGAUUUCUCGAAACCUAAGGAGCUACCUUAAAUUUUGGUUUAGCCUUAGAUAAAGGUGGGUGUGGCAUAACCCUAUUUAAAACUUAAGGUAGAAAUUAAAUGUUAUUCGUUUUAGGUGAUAGCUAGUUAUAAUAUAAAGAUAUAUAAGUAUCGGAUAUAAUUUUAUUAUAUGUUUAUAUCAUAUACAUAUAAUGACUUAUUUUCUUAGUUAUGUGAGGGUGAGCUCGCGUAAAUUUGAUUUAACUAAAAUUAUAUAUGAACCUAGGCUUGAAAUUAGCCAUGGUUUGGAGUUUGUUAAAAAUACAUAUAUGUAAAAAACUUUGUAAUAUAUUAAAUUUAUGUUAUUCAAUUAUGUGAUUAAAGCAUGGUUGAUUUAUGCUAAGAUGAGUAUUGUUAUAAAUUAAAACAAAAAAUAAGUUAAAUUUUUUUAAAAAUUUUUUAUAAAUAUUAUAAAGCAUAUCAUAGGAACUCGGCAAAAUUUAGCUCCGCCUGUUUAGCAAAAACAUGUCUCUUUG